AUUUCUCAACCCCUCUCGAUUUGAUUCGAGGGGGAGCUUGGAUGGUGGGGGUUUGCCGUAGACUUGGGCCAAGUUCUUCUUGGUCUAGGAUUUGGGCUCUCCUGAAAUACAUUGGCUUGCGGUCGACUUUCGACUUUGCACGACAAGGCUUUCGGCGUGAUAAUGAUCGUCGUGUGCUGAAGUGCAUGAAUGAAGGUUCCGUGCCUCUAAUAUGUCGAUCCCCCUUUACAUUAGUAUAAGGGGGGUCUUCCUCUCUGAC
rnacentral:misc_RNA from 1 species